rnacentral:tRNA from 1 species
AAGGAUUUAAGUUAACUAAACUAGAAACCUUCAAAGUUUCAAAUAAAGAAAUUUUCUUUAAGCCUUA